CCCUAUGGGGCGAUCGUGAAGUCCAAGAAGGAAAUUGAGAAUCCAUGGACGCGGUUGCAGCAGGAAACCGGGUGGGAGGAAUCCUCAGCAAGCAUCGCCACCGGGACUUUGCGGGAUGGCAAGGUCCUGCUGGCCAUGAGCCAAACCCCAUUAAUUGUGAAUGCCAAACGGGGCCGCGGCCAGAUCACCGUCAUUUUGUUCAAUCCCGAACGAGAGCCGUUUCGCAGUUGGAAACUCCGACCGUGGUUGUGGGCGCGCUUGGCUCAAGUCUCACCCGUGCU
rnacentral:rRNA from 1 species